rnacentral:rRNA from 1 species
UGGCGGACGGGUGAGUAACGCGUGGGCAACCUGCCUUACACAGGGGGAUAACAGUUAGAAAUGACUGCUAAUACCGCAUAAGACCGCGGAACCGCAUGGUUCUGAGGUAAAAACUCCGGUGGUGUAAGAUGGGCCCGCGUCUGAUUAGGUAGUUGGUGAGGUAACGGCUCACCAAGCCGACGAUCAGUAGCCGACCUGAGAGGGUGACCGGCCACAUUGGGACUGAGACACGGCCCAGACUCCUACGGGAGGCAGCAG